UCCCAAGGGUAUGGCUGUUCGCCAUUUAAAGUGGUACGCGAGCUGGGUUUAGAACGUCGUGAGACAGUUCGGUCCCUAUCUGCCGUGGGCGCUGGAGAACUGAGGGGGGCUGCUCCUAGUACGAGAGGACCGGAGUGGACGCAUCACUGGUGUUCGGGUUGUCAUGCCAAUGGCACUGCCCGGUAGCUAAAUGCGGAAGAGAUAAGUGCUGAAAGCAUCUAAGCACGAAACUUGCCCCGAGAUGAGUUCUCCCUGAGACUUAGAGUCUCCUGAAGGAACGUUGAAGACGACGACGUUGAUAGGCCGGGUGUGUAAGCGCAGCGAUGCGUUGAGCUAACCGGUACUAAUGAACCGUGAGGCUUAACCUUAC
rnacentral:rRNA from 1 species